CACCGCCCGUCACACCAUGGAAGCCAGUUGUACCGGAAGCCGGUGAUCCAACCCGCAAGGGAGGCAGCCGUCCAUGGUAUAGCUGGUGACUGGGGUG
rnacentral:rRNA from 1 species